UGUUGAGUCACCCAGCAGGGGAUACUGGAGUCUAUCAGGCUGAGAGUCUGGAGGGAUAGGACUGAUUCCAGCAGUGUUAUGCUUCUUUUAUCUGCCUCUCCUUCUGUAUUUCCAGCAAUAGUUGUUGGCAUGGAAACCCACCCGUUCACCCAACCUGGAGUAAAUGUGAAGUCCAAUGAGACAACAGAACAUGCCCGCUGACAGUGCGUGUAAAGUGUGGGCCCACUGUUCCUUGAUGCCCCAGUUUGCUGUGCCUCAAAGAGCACAAAAUUUCGCUGGACUCACGAGCAUGUCAAAGCGAC